UGUCCAGUCGCACGCUGUAAGUAUUUGUUGACGCUGCAUUGCAGGCGUUAGCUAUUGCGUCUACGGUAUCCGUCAACACAGAAGCUACCCUGUCGCUCAGAAAAAAAAUCAAAACUCGUGGCAAAUCUGAAAGAAAUUGACAGAUCUGGGCCAGGAGAGUUUUUGUUUAGAAACUCAGAAGUAGAGUCGGGUGUUCAGCAGCAACGUUUCUUUACCAACCAUGAAGUGGACUUUGAUGUUCGUCUGUGUCCUUGUUUGCCUUGUCGAUGGAAUUGCGGCAUUGAAUUGCUAUCAGUGUACGUCUCUCAACAACAACUGCAACGACCCGUUUGACAAGGUGGCACAUAAGAAUUUGCUCACCGACUGCCAAUCGGGAGAAGUUUGCAUGAAAACUAAAUAUGGCGACUUCGUCAACCGUCUGUGCACUUUGAAGCCCGCUUGUACUGUAUCUGGUGGGAUUAAUGUUUGCGGCGACGAUACAGUUGGCAAUUACAUUUGCUGCUGCACCACAGACGGAUGCAACGGCGCUACGACAACCAGCAUCAGCUAUUUGGUCGUGACUGCUCUGCUCGUCCUGACAAAGGCCUUGCAUUAACUGUCUUGGAGGCAGUUAUGAAAGGAACACGAUAAGGACAUCCAGUUGCUUUUGUUAUUUAGCUAUUUCAAUAAAUAGUUAAAAUCAAGUGACACACCAGAAGAAUCAUCAUGGAUUGCACGGCUUCGUGAAAUAUAGGCAAGGGGUAAAGUUGCUUAUCCUUAGCAAACUUGAAACUCCCCGAACUCUUCGAUCGCAAGUAAGCCCGUGUCUUUAAAUUAUAGCAAACAAUUACAGCUUAGAUUAGGGCCGAAUUUCAUGGCACUGCUAACUGCAAGCAAAAAAUCGGCGCUUACUGGAGCAGAAAAUUCUGCACUUACGGCGAACGUAUUUCACUGGUUAGCGAGGAAUUUUGGCUUGUGUGCAUGCGUAUACGCUGUAACUAAGGAUUUAGUGCUUUAACGGUUAACGCAGAAUUUUUCAGCAGAAGUUUGCCCACGGUAUUGCAUCAUGCCGUAAUAUAUUAACGUCACAGUUAUAGCACGACUAUUUUUCUGCACACAUGGGUGCUUAUUUGUAGAAAUCACAAACUUAUAAGGUAACAAGAAAUGGAACAAAGGUCACGACAAACAACAAGAAACGAUCAACAAACUAGUUGUGAGCCAAUCUGCAGUAUGUCACUCGGUCAUUACGACAUCACUACGCCAUUUAGGUAUCUUUCUCAUGCCUGUCAUUACAACCCUCACAAUAUAUUUACAGGGACAACUGUCACUCAUUGAGUCUUUCAACCAAACGUGUACAUAAAUAUUCCCGAUUGACUCCAUGAUUUGAUAAUCUAGAUAGUCUAGAUGACUUAAUUCAAUUCCCUUGACUUCUUCAAACUAUCCCUGAUGCUACUUUUAGAGGGGGUUUCACUGAUGGAGUCAUCUGAGCAGUCACUGAAACAGGGCGGGGCCAAACCUACGCUCCCAUAUGUUUGUACACAGACUCCCUACUGCCACGUGUCUGCUACAUGUUUAUGAAGAAAAUACCCUCUCCCCUCUCCUAGGCCACUGAGUCACUACUUCUUAUAAUUUUCAGCGUGUUAGGAGCCUUCUGCCUGGCGCUCAGCAGGUAGUUUACUGAUCUCCAGCGCCCCAACCUGAUUCUGGCCAUGUGGAAAGAAAUUCUGUGAUCACGCAAAAUGACACACAGGCUGGCCUGAGAAGGUUUCCAUCUCUUUUACUCAGAAAAAUGGCACGGGAAUUUGAUUUAUGAGUCAUUUGUAAUAUAAAUAUGAUUUGGCCAUAAUUUGGACAUUGUACCGCACAGGUGCACAAACUGAGUUACCCCCCCCGCCACUAAGGGGAUACUCUGUAAUACACCUGUACAUUUGUAUCAUGAACAUUGUCCCCUAGGAUGAUGGCAGCCCCCCUCCAAUUUCCACAGUCGGGCAAGCCCCCCUAUCCCAAAAUUUCCAGCACGAGAACGUCAUUAUUGCAUACACUGUUCUGGUUCCUCAUGUGAUUCCCGUGAUACCGUGCCCCUUUUCAAAUCGACCAUACACAGAACAGUUGAGCGCUAAGUCAAUUUUGCUAAAUAACAGUUCCUCUCGGGGGAUUUUUUUUCGUCUCGGUCUUUCACAAUGUUUAUUUUGGUUCUUUGAUGCGCCAAAUACCAACCAUAAUUGGUGGAAUGGUUGUACAGGCAUAAUGUAACGAUCCGUGCCUCCAUUGCAGCACCAAGCAACGCGAUAGACGGUCCAGUCAUGCUCGCCAAGGCAAGAAUGACUCACUAAGUAAAAUAAUUAGAGUACAUGUGCCGUUAGGUGAGGACAUACAAACCGGGACUUUGGACGCGUGGGAUCUGGGAGUGGCUUCACAAUCGCUGUGGUAGUCUUCAUGUGAUCAACUGGUCUGGGCGACUCCUCGUCAUCCAUAGUGAAUCACGAGAGUAACAAUGGAACUUUACAACCAGCAGCUUGAUGACAAGUGAGAUGAGUUUAUGUUUACUAAACCCUUCGGCAGGGUACCUGUACGUGCCCGUAUAAUGACCCAUUAAUAACCUCCUCCUGUCAAUCAGGUCCCGUUAAAAUUCUCCAAGAUCAAAGGCUCAACAUGUAAUUUCGCACAUGUGUGUUUGUAAAGAAAAUACGGUCGACUAAACCGAAAACUUGAAAAUAUCGAAGAUAUAUACGUGACAGGAUGACAUUUCAAAACAUGGAGUGUGAAUGUCAAUUACCUAGGCAGUGUCCAUCGAAUGUAUAAACAGAAUAAAAUGCAAUGUAAAAUGUAGAUUUAAA